CUUCAAGAACUUCAAGCAAGUCCAGUUGCCUUCGCAUAGCACAGAAUUAUUCCCCUUGGCUCCUCCUUCAGUAUUUCUCACUCUCCUACACCAAAAGUAUCCAGUGACAUUAAUACCAACAGUGGUAUAGUGGUGAGCGUGUCUGCCUUUCAAGCAGUUGUAGGUACGGCGCAAGUUACAGG